UACGAAGGGUGCAAGCGUUACUCGGAAUUACUGGGCGUAAAGCGUGCGUAGGCGGUUUGUUAAGUCUGUUGUGAAAGCCCCGGGCUCAACCUGGGAAUGGCAAUGGAAACUGGCGAGCUAGAGUACGGUAGAGGAGAGUGGAAUUCCCGGUGUAGCAGUGAAAUGCGUAGAGAUCGGGAGGAACAUCAGUUGCGAAGGCGGCUCUCUGGACCAGUACUGACGCUGAGGUGCGAAAGCGUGGGGAGCAAACAGG
rnacentral:rRNA from 1 species